UACGAGGGGGGCGAGCGUUGUUCGGAAUUAUUGGGCGUAAAGGGCGCGUAGGCGGUCGGAUAAGUCUUGUGUGAAAUCUUCGGGCUCAACUCGAAGUCUGCACAGGAAACUAUCUGGCUUGAGUGUGGGAGAGGUGAGUGGAAUUCCUGGUGUAGCGGUGAAAUGCGUAGAUAUCAGGAGGAACACCUGUGGCGAAAGCGGCUCACUGGACCACAACUGACGCUGAGGCGCGAAAGCUAGGGGAGCAAACGGG
rnacentral:rRNA from 1 species